GUAGGUGGAGCAGAAUCAGUCGACCAAUCAGCGUUUCGUAUGCCGACGUUGGCUGGCGUGUGACGUCAUCGUUCUGGACCUCGAGGAGGAGAGCAGGUCGGCGGAGGAACAAUGGCGAAAAGUCGAGUGAAAAUACAGAGUAAAAUCAACGUUUUACGCCAUCGUUUUUACCUGGGGUUGUUGUCGCUGUGAGAAACUUUGUUGCCGAAGAAGCGCGGAUGUUACAACACACGCCGAGCUCACCUGCAGCAGGAGGAGGUGAGGACAAUAAACAACCAUCACCAAUAAACAAGAGGCCAGAAGAUCCAGGACAGGCGUCUCUAGUUUGUGCAAGGCAGAAGAUCUUUGAGAUGAGAUAAGAAGGGGCAAGGACAGCUAUGGGAGGAAGCCGGAGGAGCGCCUUCAGGGUAACAAAACCAGAGAGGUCUGGAAUCUGGCAACAGGGAACCUGAAAGUAACACCACUCACAGCAGGGGUCAGUGCCCAUCCCUGCCUCUUCAUUAUAUGUGACCAGGCGAGGAGGGUGUUGAGGAAAGCUACAGGACCUCAUGGCAGCUGUGUGGGGUUUUCUGCACAUGUUCAACUUGAAGAGAAGUUUAAGUGGAGAGAGUUUGGCCCCAGUUCUGAAGAGUGGACAGCCUAGUGAGCUGAAAAACUUCAGGCCAGCAGUUGUGACUUGUCACCUGAUGAAGAUGCUGUUGUGUCUCUGUCUUGGUCUUUGGAGUCCAUUGAGGAGGCAUCAAGACAUCUUCUACAAAUACUGAGAUGUUGGUUGUGAAUGCAGAGAGUGUUGACACAAUGAAGUAGUUCUUUUGGACCAGGACUGAGAACAGGUGUCUCCACUUUGUCCACUGCACAAGUUCUUUGAGACCAGGACAGAGGCUUGUUAGGUAAUUCACAGUUUCAUCAUUUGUGUAAUUAUACAAGUAGUUUGUACAAGUUGAGGUACAAAUAGUAUGUAGAGUUUUGAAUGUAUGUGUUUGUGGAAAACAGAUGCUUUGUUAGAUGUUGAGUUGCAAGUGUUAUGAUGAUUUUGUCCAGGUAAAUGCAAUGUGCUUUAUGUGAACUGUGUUAGGCAGAGCAUUGAGUGUUGUUUAUGUUUAGUAUUUCUUCUCAUCGUGGAUGUUAUGGUUUGUUGAUGAUUGUCAGUUGUACUGUGUGAUGCUUGAAGGUUGUCUUGCUAAUAAAGGGGUUUUGUUUGUGUGUGUUUUUUUUUUAUAGUUUUAUGAUUUUUUGUUGGUUUGGCUGAAAUUUUGGGAAGGGAGGAUUGAAGUUGAUGGCAAGUUUUUUUUCUGAGAUGUGUUUUUAUGCCAGAUUUCGAUGAAUUUGUUUUGUUCACUGCUCAAAACGAUGGUUUAAGAAU